UACAGAGGUCUCAAGCGUUGUUCGGAUUCAUUGGGCGUAAAGGGUGCGUAGGCGGCGCGGUAAGUCGGGUGUGAAAUCUUGGAGCUUAACUCCGAAACUGCAUUCGAUACUGCGGUGCUUGAGGACUGGAGAGGAGACUGGAAUUCAUGGUGUAGCAGUGAAAUGCGUAGAGAUCAUGAGGAAGACCAGUGGCGAAGGCGGGUCUUUGGACAGUUCCUGACACUGAGACACGAAGGCCAGGGGAGCAACGGG
rnacentral:rRNA from 1 species